ensembl:snoRNA LOC120095414 small nucleolar RNA SNORA44
AAUUAUUUUUCAAAAGGUCUGUUAGAAGUCUGUGCUGAUCUCCAACUGCAUGCCAGAGUAACGGAGAGACUUUGACAGCCCAGGUUAUCACAGUGCCUGCUGUUGCCACUCAGCUCUCCUAUAUGU